rnacentral:lncRNA from 1 species
CCGGCGCAAGCAUCAGUGCAUCACCAUAUAGAUACCUAAACAGGGUGAUGCUCGUAGUCAUCCAUAUCCUCACUCAUGGGGGCCGGGCCAAAGAAACCACUCAUCACAGUCCAAAGAAUUGAUGCAUCAUGCUUCAUGUGAAAGUGAGUAUCUCAAAUCUCUAGGUUAUUCUAUGUUCCAUCAAUCGAUCAGCAUGUGGGUUCAUUUUUCUUUCACUCUCCUCCACUUUCUUCCCAGGCCAGCCAGCAACCGCAUGUGCAACUUUUCAGAAUCCACCCACACAUCCACUCUCUCUCUGUACUCCUUUUUCUAACUUUAGCUUUUGGCAGCAAAUUAACGGUAAUUAUUACUUUGUAACACAUUGACAUUGGAUCAAACCAAUGGAUCUCUUUCUCCUCCAUUAUCUUCUUCCUCGCAAACUUACAGCCCAUUUGCAGAUUGUAGGUUGGAAGAUGGUGGGGCAUAUAAUUUAAAGAAACUGCUGAUACGCAUAUGACAUAUAUGACAGUCUCCCAAGCCCCAUUCCUCUUGUGACCUAAAAGUAUUAAUGAGUUUCAUUUCAUCGUCACUUUAUUUAAUACUGAAGUGAGAUCCAAGGCAUCAGUAAGUGUAGUAGUAGUAUUCAAUCAACCUCACUCAACAAAAACUUUGACCAUGUCUCUUCUC